CCAGAUAGCUUAGUUGGUAGAGCACCUGACUAGAGAUUCAGGGGGCCCGGGUUCGAAUCCCGGUCUGG
rnacentral:tRNA from 1 species